CCUACGGGGGGCAGCAGUGAGGAAUAUUGGUCAAUGGACGCAAGUCUGAACCAGCCAUGCCGCGUGCAGGAAGACGGCUCUAUGAGUUGUAAACUGCUUUUGUACGAGGGUAAACGCAGAUACGCGUAUCUGUCUGAAAGUAUCGUACGAAUAAGGAUCGGCUAACUCCGUGCCAGCAGCCGCGGUAAUACGGAGGAUUCAAGCGUUAUCCGGAUUUAUUGGGUUUAAAGGGUGCGUAGGCGGUCGGAUAAGUUAGUGGUGAAAUCCCGAGGCUCAACUUCGGAAUUGCCUUUGAUACUGUUAGGCUAGAGAAUAGUUGCGGUAGGCGGAAUGUAUGGUGUAGCGGUGAAAUGCUUAGAGAUCAUACAGAACACCGAUUGCGAAGGCAGCUUACCAAGCUAUUUCUGACAUUGAGGCACGAAAGCGUGGGUAGCAAACAGGAUUAGAUACCCCAGUAGUC
rnacentral:rRNA from 1 species